GGAGAGAUGGCUGAGUGGGUUGAUAGCUCCGGUCUUGAAAACCGGUAUAGUUCGCACCAAAGAACUAUCGAGGGUUCGAAUCCCUCUCUCUCCU
rnacentral:tRNA from 1 species